AACGCGACCCCAGGUCAGGCGGG
rnacentral:rRNA from 1 species